rnacentral:lncRNA from 1 species
AAUUCAUUUUCAAAACAGGAAUUAGAUCAAUGAGUCAGAAAAUAGAUGAUAAGAUGAAUGCAACAGUGUGUGCAGUAACAAUUUUCACAAGCAAAACAAGACAAUUCAACUAGUUCAAUCAAUCAAUUUCGAAAACAACUAAAAUCUGCAUGUGGCAGUUUCAAACAAUCACAGUUGCUUGCUCCUUCAAUUUCCUACACAGUGAACAAUCCGAAAUAGUGAGAAACGUAGUUAAAAGACAAACUGAUUCUCUCACAACUUGCCAAGGAAAAUAGGCUAAAGUCAGCCUUACAAGACUAACAACACUUAAGGCUUCUCUUAAAAAAAAUUAAACACACAGAUGAAAGGUUUGGAAGGGAGAUUCUCCCUUGGCAGUAAAAGCUAGAUAGUCUUUUAGACCACCACCACCUAAGAUGCUACCAAGCACACAACCUUUCUCAAAUUUCCAAAUAAACACCAAGAGUGAAAGCUUCUCAAACCAGAGAUGGAUAGGCUAAGCAAAAGCAAUAACAGGUAAACAGAAUAGGACAAAACAAAGCAAUGGAAAUGGUCAACACAGAUCAGACUCUGCUCAGAGCUCUAAACCAGAUUUCAAAAGCAAAGGAAAGCUUCAAUUAUAAUCAGCAGAACAGAAUGCACAUGAUGGACAAAACCAUAGUUAUCAAUCAAGACAAGAAGGAAACAAAAGCUUUCAAUAAAGGAGGCACUCAAACAGAUCCUAUGAUUGGAACUAGAACAGAUUUUAAACCACAAGAAAAGACUUAGAAAUCAGAAUUAAGCACAAUUAAGCUAUACACUGAAAUUGGAUCAAACCGUUUGAUAAAAUGUCUCAAUGAAUCUGCAAAAUGUUGACAGCAACAAGCAAAUGUGCAGGACAGAUUUCAAAAUUGAGAUGCACUAGUCCAGUUAUGCCUUUUAAUGUUUAACAACUUCUUUUGAAUGUUUCUUUUGCUAUUUUAUGGACCAAG